rnacentral:rRNA from 1 species
UACACGCUGUGACUAGCAUAUCAAUAAGCGGAGGAAAAGAAACUAACAAGGAUUCCCCUAGUAACGGCGAGUGAAGCGGGAAGAGCUCAAAUUUGAAAUCUUAAAGGGUUUCCCUUUACGAAUUGUAGUUUAAAGAAGUGUUUUCUGUUGAGGUUUUGGUAAAAGUUCUUUGGAAUAGGACAUCAUAGAGGGUGAGAAUCCCGUAUUUGACCUUUACUUUCAACUUUGUGAUACACUUUCAAAGAGUCGGAUUGUUUGGGAAUGCAGUCCAAAAUGGGUGGUAAAUUUCAUCUAAAGCUAAAUAUUGGCGAGAGACCGACUAGCGAACAAGUACCGUGAGGGAAAGAUGAAAAGAACUUUGAAAAGAGAGUUAAACAGUACGUGAAAUUGUCAAAAGGGAAGCGUUUGACACCAGUGUUGUUUUUCCUGAAAAUCAAUUAAAGAACUGUUUAUGCUAAGCUGUUUAGACUUUAUCAGCUAUCUGUUUAGUUUUGAGCUUUUCUUUAAUGCACUUUUCAGUUAACAAGUCAACAUCAAUUUCUUUUGCUGUAAAAAAGCUUGAGGAAGGUGGCUUGAGAUUCGUCUUAAGUGUUUAUAGCCUCUUGCCUAUGCAGUCGGAGAGAUUGAGGUCUGCAGCGUAGAUCCUUCGGGGCUAAAUGCAUUUGUGCUAAGUUAUAGCAUUUUAUAGACAACUUGUUGACUAUGAUUUGUCUUGUAGCUUACUCGCUUAUGUUAUUUUACCUACGCUUAGGAUGUUGACGCGCGUGUGUGCGUG